GUUAGCUCUGUUUUCAAGGGUGAUUUAACGUUGUAUUAUUUAAAAAAAAUUUAUUUCAAUUUUAUGCAUUUGUGACACCAAUGUAGCACAAACAACUUCAUAAAUUGCCACGCUCAUUUAUGUGACUAGCAAACGUUGACUAACUUUAGCUACAGUCCACAUUACUGAUAGCAUCGUUCUGUAUCCUAAACAUUGACAUGGCAAGUAUAAGCAAAUCCACUGGAAAAACUCCUAAAAAGGACACGAGAUCCCGGACUCCUCCAGAGAAGAACCGUCUCAGGGGGUCAGAGGAGUCUUCGUCGUUCGCGUGUGAAGAGCAGCCUCAGAGCCCCACUCUGAAAGGAGAAGAUAUCCAGGCCCUGGCCAUCCGACCAGAGGACCUGGAGAAGUUCCGGGUACCCCAGCCCCCUAAAGAACCCCAGAAACCUUCAGCAGUGACCCGGGUGCUGGUGCGUAAGACACGCCCACCUGAUGACAUCAGGAAGGGGAGGACGGUGGCGGUGGCUCGCCCCCUGACCACGGACAGCACAACACACCCUCUGGACUACACGGGACCAGGAGGACCUCGCUUCGACGCCCACGGGAUGGUCCUCCCCCACAGCAUUCUGGGUAGUCUGGAGGACUUCAGGAUGGAGAUGCAGGCCAGGGGAGAGACUGAGCUGGUGAGGCGGGUGCCAGCCCCCCAGGGAGGUCGCCCCCCUGUCUUGGUUGGGGGGCUGGGUCAGAGGGGUGCGGAGACGCCCCCUCCUCACCCAAUGGGCCAGAGAGAUGUCCAGAGCCACGCCCUGGAGCACUGGCGCUCACACAUGGCAGCCAGACGACACCAGCAGGACCUCAUCUCCAACCUGCUGCAGAAACCAGUAGAGUGUCUGUUGAUGACCCAGACCAGCCGUUUCAGGGAGAUCCAGGAGCAGAGAGAAGUCGUCUCCCGGGCCCUGCCAUCCAGACACCCUGGACAGGGCUACCGUGUGGGCAGUGAGUUCUGGAGCCUCCCCCAGAGGUUUGGUGAUGAGCUGAGUGGCAUAUCAGCCACCCUGACCAGGACACAGAGAGGACAAUGGGAACCUGUCACACACAUCGCUCAGCCCCAGAGCGUCCGCAAGGAGACAGGCCUCGUGACCCCAGAGAAGGUCUGUUCGGCCAGCAGGACCUGGAAUCAGAGUCAGUACCUGCAGGAGCAACGACAUGAGCUCAGAGACGUCCUCAAAGACCUGGACUUCAACCAGCCUGAGAUAGAUGGACUGGAGGUGAUUGGCUCAGCACAGCCCUUCACGUCUGUCAUGGUGAAACGGAGCCCCCUAUUGGAGGAGGAGGAGGAAAGGGAAGAGCUUAAGAGAGCAGAGCAGGAGAACAAUGACCCGCUGUCGCAGUUUGAUGAUGUCAUGCUGGACAUGCUGCUGGUGCCUGCGUUAAGGUUCUGCGGUGAACCUGCCCGCUGGACCGGCAACUCUACCUCUCACAAGGGGGAGGUGGGCAUCAGUGCCCGUGUGACGUUUGAGGCCCUGGCGGGAGAGAGGAGCAGUUCCCACCUGGUUCUGCAGAACGAGGGCAGCACAGCCAUUUACUACAGCUGGCAGCGCCUGCCGUUACCGCACAACUUCCCCGACGCCAGGACACGCACGCACACUCAACACUUUUACUUCGACACCUCCACGGGUGUGAUUCUACCAGGGUCCAGCCGGCACGUUGAGUUCAUAUUUAAGUCAGACGUCCCGGGCAUCAGGAGUGAAGUGUGGCGUCUCAACACACACCCUGUCCUGCUGGGAGGAGCCUCCAUGCAGGUCACACUGAGGGGCGUGGCCACCUACCUGGAUAAGACAGCAGACCAAAGACACGCCUUGGAGAGAGAGCUGCAGCAGAGGGAAGCUGUGUCGGUGUGUCGGUCGUUGGUGUCUGAUGUGUUGCGAGGCGUCCGGACACCAGACAGACCCAGCUCACCUGCUGAGCUCUACACCACCGAGGAAGAACACUUCCACCACAGAAACCCAGAGUUGCAGUACCAUUAUGAGGCUGUGGGGGCGCUGAAGAGACUGUGGCAGGAGGUGACCUCUGAAGGAGAGGACAGAGGAACAGCAUGGGACCUCUCCAUGUCCACACUACGACAGGCGGCGCUGUCUCUGCCCCAGGGGGAGGGGGAGCCAGAUGGACCCCAGCAGAGGCUCACCAGAGACGGGGCUCUGAGCCACUACAACACCCUGCUCCUGGAGCUCAGCCAGCCCCUCGUACAGCACACACCUCUACCAACCAAAACCAUGGUGCUUCAGUUGUGGAGAGAGCUAUUGGACAGCCUGGUCAGUCAAGCACAGUGGCUCAGACACAUACUGGGUCUGCCUGAGAACAACACCUGGGAACAACACACACACAACCACCAUGACAUCUGGAGCAAGAUGAAGAAAGAGAGGAUUGAGAAGAAGGAGGAGCCACCCAUGAAGGAGGAGAAGAAAGCAGGGAGCACCAAAGAGAAGGAGGAGAAGAAAGCAGGGAGCGCCAAAGAGAAGGAGGAGAAGACGGGAGCUGCCAAGACCCCAUUGAAGGGGGAGCAGCGUCCCGGCAGUAAGAAAAGGGGUUGUGAGGAGGCGUUGGGCGGGAAGCGUCCUGGAGGUAAACCCAGGGAGGCCUCAUCCGAGGUAGCCAGCCCUCAUACCAACUCCCCUGACCCUCAUACCGACUCCCCUGACCCUCACACUGACUCCCCCGAGCCUCACAUCGACUCCCCCGAUCCUCACAUCGACUUCGUCCUGGAGCCUGAAGUACAGGACAAAUACAAGAGACAGCUGCACCAACAGGUGUAUAUUCUGAUGGAGGGUCUGGUGGACUCUCUGUGUGUGAUGUUGGAUGAGGCUGCACAACCUCCUGGAUGAACUGACACACCUCUGAGCCCAACAACACACUCUGAUUAUGAAACCCUCUUGUUCUGAGAAUGUAUCACAAUAAAGUCAA